rnacentral:lncRNA from 1 species
CAUCUGAUGUCACACAGUCGGUUUGCUUACAAGACAAAAGCACAGGUGUAUUCAUGUAUUUAUGGAUAGAAAAUUAACGUGUUUUCGAUUUAUAUAUUUAAUUGUGAAGCGAUAGUGAAAUGGAAGAAGGCCGGGACAAUCUUAGAAUAAUUCCGUAUGAUUACGAACCGGAGUUUACGCAAUGAGAACUGCAAAAUAUAAGAGAGACAUUGCCGAUCACAAAUCAUGCAACUUUAGAAGAUUAGGUGCAGUUGCAAUGCAUGUGAAGAAAUGACUUCGCCGGAGCAAUGUAUUUUGUGUUGCUCCUCUGAAUAUGUGCAUCCGAACAUCUAUGACUUGGAGUGCAUAACAGAACACCCUCAGUUUCAGCUGAUCGUCCUUAAUUCAGACGUUUUGACAGUGGCAUUUGUUCAAGGAAAUGCAGGUCGUGUCCCGGAUAAUUUAACAAACCAAUACGUCAGUUUUACAUCGAAUAUUAAGCUUACUUAAUUUCAUAAAUUGCAUAAAAUUCUCGCUAUCUUUAUCUAAAAUUUUCAACAACAAACAAUGAAAAAAAGGGAGGGCACAUCUGCCUCCUCUCACCCGAUAAAAUUAUUUCAUUAUUAAUAUUGGCACUCUAGCAUGGAAGUAAAAUCAAAGAUAUGAAACUUUGAAAUAACUAAACUAAUUUAUAUAUGUAAAAAACUAUAUAACAGGAUUCCAUUUCCAGGAAGUCAGGAGCCAGUAAUCUAUAUUGCUAGUGGUUGUCGUUUGGUUAUGUGUUACAUAUUUGUUUUUCGUUCAUUUUUUUAUAUAAAUAAGGACGUUUGUUUUCUCGAUUGAAUUGUUUUACAUUGUCACAUCGUGGCCUUUUAUAGCUGACCGGCUAUGCGGUAUGUAAUAGCUUAUUGUUGAAGGCCGUAGAAUGACCUACAUGUAUAGUUGUUAAUGUCUGUGUCAUUUUGGAUUCUUGUGGACAGUUGUCUCAUUUGCAAUCAUACCAUAUCUUCUUUUUUAUAUUAUGUGCACAAAUUUAAGUGUAAUGUAAUGAAUAACAAUAUAUUGUGUAAGUCACACAGGGGCCCUUGAUUGUAAAAUAAAGAACUUUGAACUUUACAUGUUAAAACCUAUUAAUUACCACAACAAAUAUAACUGAUUUGACUGUUGUAUUUAUUAAAAUAUGAUAAAAGCAAAACAUUAUACUAUAAUUGUCCUUCUUUUCAGGCAGUCAAGGUUGACAGCCUACAGACAGUUUGUAUGUUGGAUGCUGAAAGAAG